GGAAUUGUUCGCAAUGGGCGCAAGCCUGACGACGCAACGCCGCGUGGAGGAUGAAGAUCUUCGGGUCGUAAACUCCUUUCGAUCGAGACGAAUGGCCUGCGGGUGAACAAUCCGGAGGCGUGACGGUACCUCGAGCAGAAGCCCCGGCUCACUCCGUGCCAGCACCCGCGGUAAUACGGGGGGGGCAAGCGUUGUUCGGAAUUACUGGGCGUAAAGGGCUCGUAGGCGGCCAACUAAGUCAGACGUGAAAUCCCUCGGCUCAACCGGGGAACUGCGUCUGAGACUGGAUGGCUCGAGUCCGGGAGAGGGAUGCGGAAUUCCAGGUGUAGCGGUGAAAUGCGUAGAUAUCUGGAGGAACACCGGUGGCGAAGGCGGCAUCCUGGACCGGCACUGACGCUGAUGAGCGAAAGCCAGGGGAGCAAAC
rnacentral:rRNA from 1 species